AGAUCCUCUAAAAUGUGACUAAUAUUGAGAUGGGAAAAUCGUAGUUAUUUACUUGAACAUACUUACCAUGGUUCUUUUUUCCCCCGAGGACUUUCAGAUUCCAAAAAGAUUUUGUCUUUGAAUUCUGAAUUUUCUGUAAAAACGAGGUUGCACUGCAGUACCAUGGUUGAUCAGAUUGGAGUACAAGGAGCAAAGAGGGGUAGUACGUUUAUUUUCUCCUUCGGACUUUUAUUUUCUGCCAGUACACAAAAGAGUAGUACAUAGCCAGGUUGUUCAACUAAAAAUCUCAAAGUACUUGUGCAUGUACGACAACCUCCCUUUUGCCUUUUUGGCACUAUAUAUAGAGCAAAAUGACAGAGCAUAGCCACAAACAGAAGCAGCCUGAGCCUGUGGUAAAAACAGAAGUUUUGAGGCAAAAAUCUCAUUGUUGGGAGAUUGAUUAUUGUUGUGACAGUUGUUGAGAUGGUGACAGAUAUGUGAGGUAAAGGUUAAUAUGUGAGGAGAAAGAGAAGUUUGAGAGACAACAGCAAGAGAACAAACAUAGACAGGGAAUGGGCAGAGCAUGGAUGGAACCAUCGACAGGAUUGGAGCCUGUUGUGGCUCUACUCAUGCACUGCCUCUUCCCUGGCUGUGCCUCUCUCUUCUUUUCUCUCCUCUCCCCUACAUUAAUCUUUUAAUUUGGUUUCACUCUCACACACACAUUUCCUUAUUCCUACACACAAUUGCAUAUAUUAAUGUUUGUUCAAGCAAAAAUGAGCUCCUAGGUAAUAGGUGCUAUGUCUGCUGAAAAGUUCCAUGAAGUUUGUGUUUCAGAAGCAAUGCAAGCGUUUAUCCAUUAUUGGAUCUUCCGAUAGAGAAUCAGGAAAUGAAUUAGCAUCAAUCAGAAAUGAAUUAGCAGCAGCAAACCCAUUACAUAUGAUAUUUCUGCUAUCGCUAUAAAUUAUGUAUGCGAACACUUUGUUUGUACCAUAAUCUCUAGGACGAAUGGCUUGUUGCAAUUUGCAAGUAGCAAA